rnacentral:rRNA from 2 species
AAACAGGUGCUAAUACCGUAUAUCUCUAAGGAUCGCAUGAUCCUUAGAUGAAAGAUGGUUCUGCUAUCGCUUUUAGAUGGACCCGCGGCGUAUUAACUAGUUGGUGGGGUAACGGCCUACCAAGGUGAUGAUACGUAGCCGAACUGAGAGGUUGAUCGGCCACAUUGGGACUGAGACACGGCCCAAACUCCUACGGGAGGCAGCAGUAGGGAAUCUUCCACAAUGGACGCAAGUCUGAUGGAGCAACGCCGCGUGAGUGAAGAAGGUCUUCGGAUCGUAAAACUCUGUUGUUAGAGAAGAACACGAGUGAGAGUAACUGUUCAUUCGAUGACGGUAUCUAACCAGCAAGUCACGGCUAACUACGUGCCAGCAGCCGCGGUAAUACGUAGGUGGCAAGCGUUGUCCGGAUUUAUUGGGCGUAAAGGGAACGCAGGCGGUCUUUUAAGUCUGAUGUGAAAGCCUUCGGCUUAACCGGAGUAGUGCAUUGGAAACUGG